UGGGGAAUUUUGCACAAUGGGGGAAACCCUGAUGCAGCGACGCCGCGUGAUUUAGAAGGCCUUCGGGUUGUAAAAAUCUUUUCUAUGGGAAGAAAAUGACAGUACCAUAGGAAUAAGGACAGGCUAAUUACGUGCCAGCAGCCGCGGUAAUACGUAAGGUCCGAGCGUUGUCCGGAAUCAUUGGGCGUAAAGGGUACGUAGGCGGGUAAGCAAGUUAGAAGUGAAAUCCUAUAGCUCAACUAUAGUAAGCUUUUAAAACUGCUCAUCUUGAGGUAUGGAGGGGAAGGUGGAAUUCCUAGUGUAGCGGUGAAAUGCGCAGAUAUUAGGAGGAAUACCGGUGGCGAAGGCAACUUUCUGGCCAUAACCUGACGCUGAGGUACGAAAGCGUGGGUAGCAAACAGG
rnacentral:rRNA from 1 species